GCCACUACCAACUGCCCUAACAGGAUGUAGUUUAUAUUUUAUACGUUGGCGGAUGCUGUGACAAACGGGAAGUACACGCCAACUAAUUUGAAUUGAAUGCUGUCAAUAACAUGCAGUUCUUCCGAAGGCGAGUUCAUCCUUUAAACUCGGUUUUUCUGCUCUAGACGUUUAGCGUAGCAACCGAAUAUUCGCAAUCGCUCCCUUUUAUGUAACCUCGUUUCGAAAAAAAAAUUGCAGCGAUGAUAUCAAUCACUGGGAUUUGAAAUGGAAUUUAAACGACUUCGGAGGAACUAAUGGGCGACGGGAGAGAAGAUCCAUCUUCGAUAGGUGAAAUACUUGACGGGCAAACAGAGGCGACCCCCACUUCAAAUGACGCAGCAGAAUAACAGAACGAGAGAGCAAGAUUUUUCGUCGUACUUCGAUUGUAUCCGGCUGCCGUUUAUUCGUGUACCGGAUUUCGAAUGAAGCGACGUGGCUAAUCAGAUUGCGUAUACGUGUGCAACCUCUGGCAGAACCUUCGUGAUUUCAAAGUGAGAAUGUGCGGAAUGGCAGAAACGGGUGCGGUCCUCUAUUCCCGCAAGGGCCGUUUGGUACAACUCCCCAAUCACGAAACAAAGCAGGAAAAAACCAAACAUGUAGCUUCUCUUGCAUUAACUAGAAGGUGAUUAAAAGUAACCAGAUAAUGAAGUUUUCUUUUAAAAAAAAAUAUGAAACUUUUCAUAUUGGGUAAGUAACUUGAUAUUACGUUUGGAAGGGAAACAACGUUUUUACCAGUGAAAUUGCGUUUCUGAAUCUUAGGGAAAGGAGCUGGGCUUGCCACACCCUAAACGACAAAUCAAAAACCGUAGCCACUUGUUUGUCAAGUUCGAAAUUAAUACGAUGGGCAAACAUCACAAGAAAUUGAUGUCAGCACUUAAAAAAUAGUGUUAGAUGAGGUAACUGUUAUCGAUAAGGAAGGUCCUUCGACUGUAGUCCAUACAAUUUAUAUGUAAAGAUAAACAGGCUUGAUCGUGACUGAGCCAAUUUCCUUUUCAAAGACGAGCUCUGGAUAAACUAAAGAUUAUUUUUUAUUAUUUACUAGCGUCCUAAUGUUCUCAGUAAAUUAUCAAGGGUUCCAUUAGCCCUAGUAGUGACAUGUCCCGACAUUCUUGUUUGGCUUUCCGCAUGUUGCGCUUUUGCCAAUCUUCAUCACUCACGCAGCCGCAGGCACAAAUUACAAUUUGAUUUUGAAAUCAAGUGAUCCGUUCACCAAAAUAAACUGUAUCUACGGGGAAACUGAAAUUAACGGGAGAUCAACAUCAUGCAGAAGAAGAGGGCAAAGUACAAAUAGUCGGUUGAACAGUGACUCAAAUGGACACGCCUCAAGAUCGGAAACGUUACAUCUACGAAACUGAAUUUACAGUUGGACGAACACUUGUUGCAGCAGCCAAAUUUUGACAAAUGAACAUUAUCAGCUAUUAAUUUCGCCAUCCUGUGAAUGAUUUCAAAUUUGAUUGCUGUAGUAAACGAUUUCUCAGUCCACUGGAUAUUUUGCUUGAUCAUGUGCGUAUUGUUAGCCAAUAUUUUCAGUAUAUCUAAGACUUGAUCUUCGUUGAUUCGCGGGGAUCAAUCAAACCUGAUAAUAAUUCAGUCAUCGGUUAAGAAAAACCGACCAGCCCAAAUAGAAAGAGCGUAGCCAACACUUACAGGCUUGAUAAUCUUGACACAAUAAUUAUAAAGUACCCGUAUAUGUUAUUCUCCUCUUCCAAGACAAGACUUGUAACAUGGACUUAUUAACAACACUUGCAAUUCCUGUUGUGCAACAACUGUACUGAAUGCUGAUAAGUAUUCAGAGACAAGACAUCGUGUACCGUAGUGCUCUGAAGACUUCAUGCCGAAGUUCUUUAAAUACAUUGAUUUUUGCACUGAAAAACUAAAAAAAACUAGAAAUAUCUUUAUGUGGAACAUCAUGGAAUUCAGUUUGUUGUCCCCGAGCGUUUCGACUAGCCAUAGUCUCGCCUGUUCCUAUAUGACGUACGGAAGCAUAGCCAGAGGAUUAUAUAGAUGAUACUUGGAAUGGGACGAAUUCAACCUAACACCAUAACAUAGCGGAAUCUAACUGAACGGAAAACCAUACGUUCUACAUUAUGAAGUCGAAUUCCGUCGUAGCAGCCAAAUUACAUUAAAUGAACCAUAUCAGAUAUUAAUUGCGCCUUCUAAUAAAUGAUUCGCAAUUCAAUUGAUGCAGCAAUUGCUUUUUCUGUCAAAUGGAAAGCUCAGCCGCUCACGUCGAUACAGACGAC